AAUCAAUGGGGUUGUGAAGAGUCGUGAUGAGGAUAGUGAAGAAUGGUGCUGGUUGCCCGCUUGUAGUCAAUGAGAAGCCAGGGGAGGUGGAUGGACAAGAGGGGGGAACAAAAGACUUGAGGUCAAUUUUGCAGGUUGCUGUUGCUCCCUUGCUGAUCCCAAUUUAUUGCCACGUUAGUCCAAACAGACACUCAGCUUCCCAGUUGUUGCCC
rnacentral:lncRNA from 1 species